GCAGAACGCGAAGAACCUUACCUGGGUUUGACAUGGCCGCAAAACCGGCAGAGAUGUCGGGUCCUUCGGGGCGGUCACAGGUGGUGCAUGGCUGUCGUCAGCUCGUGUCGUGAGAUGUUGGGUUAAGUCCGCAACGAGCGCAACCCUCGUUCGAUGUUGCCAGCGGUUCGGCCGGGGACUCAUCGAAGACUGCCGGGUCGAACUCGGAGGAAGGUGGGGAUGACGUCAAGUCAUCAUGCCCCUUAUGUCCAGGGCUUCACGCAUGCUACAAUGGCCGGUACAAUGGGCUGCGAUACCGUGAGGUGGAGCGAAUCCCAAAAAGCCGGUCUCAGUUCGGAUCGGGGUCUGCAACUCGACCCCGUGAAGUCGGAGUCGCUAGUAAUCGCAGAUCAGCAACGCUGCGGUGAAUA
rnacentral:rRNA from 1 species